rnacentral:rRNA from 1 species
GACGCACCGUGCAAACGUUGUUCGGAAUCACUGGGCUUAAAGGGCGCGUAGGCGGGCCAGCCAGUCUGUGGUGAAAGCCCCCGGCUUAACCGGGGAAGUGCCGUGGAUACUGCUGGCCUCGAGGAGGAUAGGGGCAUCUGGAACGGUCGGUGGAGCGGUGAAAUGCGUUGAUAUCGACCGGAACUCCGGUGGCGAAGGCGAGGUGCUGGGUCCUUUCUGACGCUGAUGCGCGAAAGCCAGGGGAGCAAACGGG